rnacentral:rRNA from 1 species
UUGAAAGGGAAACGAUUGAAGUCAGUCGUACCUUCGGGUAAUCAGCCUUUCGGGUGCGAUUCUGUGGAGCGUGGGGAGUUAAACGCCUUCAUGCCUGCAUAUUCGUGCACUUUGGGUGUACUUGCCCGUGUGGUAGGUUAACAUCAAUUUCGGAUAUCAUAAAAUGGCUGGAGGAAUGUAGCUUCGGUCUCGUACUGAAGUGUUAUAGCCUCUGGUAGAUGUGAUGACCGGGAUUGAGGAUUGCAACGAAUACCUUUUGGGCUACCCGCCUGAUCUCUGAAAGUUGCUCUGGUGCCGAAAGCUUGCUUACGGUUAUCAAAGUUGACGUUCAAAAGGUUAGAACGGGUUAAAUUCGUUAAGGAUGUUGACGUA